GAAAAGUGUUUUUUUUUUUUUAAUUAACGAUGACACAUUUUGUUUUUAAACUGAUUGCGAAAAUCUCUCAGGCUUCCCCCACUCCCUGCCUACUUUGUUUUUCUAAAUUAAACCCAGAAGCAUGAACAUAUAUAUAAAACAAAAAAAGACUACAACAUAAAAACAACUCACUGUAACUAGGCAACCUAAAAUAUGAGUCACAACCGCGCCCUUUUGUCCGCCACCCCCUCACCGCCCAGCCCCACCCAGUUUACUCUGAAUCUUUUUAAACUUCUCGUUUCCUCUGAAAUCCAGCCCAUUCGCACUCAUCCGGUGCGUGUCAUAUUUGCUUUGUAUCCCCGUCGACUAUGCAAAGAAAAGUACUAUUUCUAAGUAUUAUGUUUGAAAAAUUAACGUGUACAUUACAAAAAUGUGCAUCAGGCAUGCUACGUGUAUAAUGUUAGUAGUCCCACAGCAAGCGUUUGCAUUUAUCGAAGUAUGCCAAUCUGACCGACUUCAGAUUUGGUAACAGAAAUAUUGAAAUACGAUGGUCUUUGGCGACUUGAUCAAAGCAGCAUAUCAGGCGUACAUUUCAAUAAUCAGUCACGUUUAAUGGUUGCGUCGAGUCUUGGGCUUAAACUACAGCUGGCAGCUCUGCGCUCGACGCCGCCAUUUUCUGUUAUUGGCGCGCGCAGUGCGAGGCGGCGUUUCUGCGAAUCACAGAAACUGAAGAAAACGGCAACCAAGACCUUGCACGUGCCAGCCCCAGCUUCGGUGGACUGACGUCAGCGUCGCGCGUACCAUAACGAAUAACGGAGGUAAGAGUCCAAAUACUUCUGCUGAAGAGUUGAACAUUUUAAUCCAUAUAACCAAUUUUUAAACUUUUAAAGCUGGCUACGGACCUGACUGGGAAGAAGCUUAGAAGAAAGCUGAAGAAGUUAGCAAGAUGACCGAUAGACUGAUCCAAUAUGUUCCUCAUAACUUCAGACGAAAACCCAGGAAGAGACCAAAUACUAAGGACAUGUGGAAUGUAGCAUCAUAAUAUGGCUCCAUAGUUCCCGAAUGCAGAGAUCACCAUCAUUAAUAGGCCAAGAACGAUCAACAGGGUCACCACUGAAGGAGAAAGCAGAAAAAACUCACAUUGGUACACGAAAAAAACAUACUACUUCAAAAACAUGAGUAAAAAAAAAAUAUAUCUUAAAUAAAUGUGAACUAUGUUAAAUACCUAAA